AGUGAACGCUGGCGGUAGGCCUAACACAUGCAAGUCGAACGGCAGCACAGUAAGAGCUUGCUCUUACGGGUGGCGAGUGGCGGACGGGUGAGGAAUACAUCGGAAUCUACUUUUUCGUGGGGGAUAACGUAGGGAAACUUACGCUAAUACCGCAUACGACCUACGGGUGAAAGCAGGGGAUCUUCGGACCUUGCGCGAUUGAAUGAGCCGAUGUCGGAUUAGCUAGUUGGCGGGGUAAAGGCCCACCAAGGCGACGAUCCGUAGCUGGUCUGAGAGGAUGAACAGCCACACUGGGACUGAGACACGUCCCAGAUUCCUACGGGAGGCAGCAGUGGGGAAUCUUAGACAAUGGGGGAAACACUGAUCUAGCCAUGCCGCGUGAUCGAUGAAGGCCUUAGGAGUGUAAAGCUCUUUCAGCUCGGAAGAGAAUGACGGUACCAGCAGAAGAAGCCCCGGCUAACUCCGUG
rnacentral:rRNA from 1 species